CGUAGGUGGCAAGCGUUAUCCGGAAUUAUUGGGCGUAAAGCGCGCGUAGGCGGUAGAAUAAGUCUGAUGUGAAACGCCCCCGGCUCAACCGGGGAGGGUCAUUGGAAACUGUUUACUUGAGUGCAGAAGAGGAGAGUGGAAUUCCAUGUGUAGCGGUGAAAUGCGCAGAGAUAUGGAGGAACACCAGUGGCGAAGGCGGCUCUCUGGUCUGUAACUGACGCUGAGGUGCGAAAGCGUGGGAUCAAACAGGAUU
rnacentral:rRNA from 1 species